rnacentral:lncRNA from 1 species
UGAAAUCCAACCAAAACCCGCAAAUUUAAAUAAUACAAAAUUAUAUGAAAAAUAUAUUAUAUAAAUUGUAAAUGAAUAUUCAAAAUAUUCUUAAAAUAAUGUUAAAAGUUACAAGAAAACAAAUGUUUAAGAUGGCGGAUUUUGAAAUUGCUGGAACAUAGUCAUCAUAGACUGAAGCUGUAGCUGGAGUUCAUUGUAUUUUCUGUUCUGCUCUGCCUCCCUCGCUGCUGCCUCCGCUCUAAGUUGAGAAAUUUGUUCAUCUGUGCUAGCUUGUAUCAAUAAUAAAAUAUAUAAUUUAAUUUCGACCAAAAAUAUUCUGACUCUACCACUACAAGCAAUUUACGCUUAAAAAUUUAUAAAUGUACUAAAACUUCAUAGAUGACUUUUAACAUUAACACAAAAAUGGAAUCUGAGCUUUUUUUUAUGAAGAUGAAAGGAAAGGUAUGGGGUGGAUGGCUAUCCCCUUUCAAUAUCUAAAGCUUCCAAUGCAAUCCCUUAAGUUGAGAUAAUAUUUAAAAAAAAUAUAUUAUUACUAUAUUGAAAUUUAAAAAUAAAUCAUUAAUAAAAUAAAUCAGGCAUUAGAAAGUUCAGAACAAACUAACCUUGUCUUUGCUAAACCAACAGAACAACCUGUAAUAAUCAAGAAAUAGUUUUCAUUCAAUAACAGAGGCAACUAACAAAAUUUUGCCUACAUCACUAUUUAGAGCGCUGAUCUGCCAACAAUAAGCAAACAAAUUUGAUGGAAUGCCCAAACUAACAACGGCUGACAGAUAAGCAACAAAAACAAUGAAAACUGAACUUGCUCACUUGAACAGAGAUUAUUCAAUAUCAAAAGACACCAUCAUAUGACUAAUUGAAGUAAAGAACUGAAAACAUUAUAAAAAUUUAUAGAAAUGCUGAUUAUCAUAAGUUCAUUUGAUGGGUAGUCUAUUAUUCGCAAAUCUAAAACAUUAUCCCUCUUGAGUUUAAUAUGAUUUAUGGAAUUUAACCAGAUGGCCUAAAGAGUUCUAAGGAAGUGCUAAUCACUACAGAAAAAGGUCUAUGCGUACAAGAAGAAAAAUAUGUUUUUCCUCACUAGAGUUCCGAAGAAACCCUCAUCGUCACAAGAAGGACAAUUGACAGUCCACUUCUUUUGUCAACAAGAUAAUUACCCAAAAUAAUUGAAUGUUUAUAUUCCCUUAAAGAAACAUUGAUUAAGAUUGGGCAACAGCUAUGAGAUAGAUAUCACACAUGAUAUGGCUAGAAAAUGAAGUUAACUAUUAAAUAUAUGCUUGUAUGUAUGUACGCACUAAGGGCAAAAAUAAUCAAUUUCAAUUCAGAAACUUCAAAACCCAUACAGCUAAAAGCCAGCAAGUAACUACCCCAAAAAAGAAAAUACAACACAUGAAGUUUAACAGGAGAAUGAUAAAUUUAGAUCUGAUUAACAAUUCAGAUCCAUAAAGUGGUCAAAACUUCACCAAACUAAAGCAAGCAUCAUAAACUACUUACCAAAGAUUGGUCAAGUUCAAGAGAUGCUAAUGAAACAACUCCAGCAAGUGUUUCAAGUGCUAUUCCUACAAGAGUAUAACAUGGUUAACAAAUAACAAUCUCACAACUGGAUUGAACAAUGGAUAUUAAAAGAAGGUAAACAACUUUAUCAAAGACAUAACAUCAGUGAUAGGAGAAAAAUGCUAAAUGGUGGUUGUGCUGAACAUUGUCUUCAAAAAAACAAGUUUUAGAAUCUAGAAAAAUCUUUACCAACAGCAAAGGCAUUAGAUUCAGGAUUAUUAGAACUAAAGCGCCACCUGCCAUCACUCUGGCGUAAAGCCUGAAAACAACUUGUAACAUAAAAUCAACCAUUCAUGAAAAACAUAUAUAGCUAUACAAAUCAGGGCAUAGAAGUUGGCUGAAGUGAAAAAGUUUAUAUAAACAUAAGAUUAGAAGUUUGAGUCAGUUCAAGUAAAGAGACGCCACAAAGGCAAAUGUCUCCAUCCCAACAACUUGUCCCACCAAAAUGCUUUUUGACUCUAGGCUGAAGUAAUAGAAUCUGUUCAAACACAUGAAAUUCAAAUCUUCCGAGAAUAUUUACUACUGGAUGAAUGAUGAAUAAAAAUCCAAAAUGAUUAAAAAAACACAACCAAUCAGAUCGAACAAAAAUCUCAAUACAGCAACAAUUUUUUUUCUCAAUCCCAUAUUAUAUAAGCUAACAAACAUUACUCUUAACACCAUAAAUAGAUCCAAUCAGCAGGUUAUUAGUAAAUAAUAAUGAACAUUAUUAACAGCAAAAAUUAACAGGAUCUUUUGGAAAGUAAAGGACUUUGUUGGCUAAGGUUUCUAGCUCGGAUUAAAGUUUUGAACUUGGAAGAGUUUUGAGGUACUAACAAAAUCCAAAAUCCAACGAAGGAACAUGCUAUAAAGUCGAAACCAAUCUGACAUAUCGAAAUAUAAAAAAAAUGUUUAGCUCCUCGUUUGUUACUAACAAAAUCGUAAAGAAUGACCUAAAUUUUAAAAGAAAAGUGCAGGAGAAAUAGGCACAAUUAAAUAUUCUUCAUUAAUAUUUUAAAGGUCAAGAAAUAUGAUAUAAAACUUAACAUCGAGAUGGAGCUAUAGAAACAUUACCCGAUAGUGUGCUUUUACUCUGUUUCCUUUAUGAGCCUGGAAUUCACAUGAUGGAGGCUUAUACUGUUAAAAGGUGAGAAUGAAAUAGUUAAUAAGAUCACAAGCAAUGAUUAAACUGACCAAGAAGUUAGAAACAAACAAUAACAGUUGAUUAUCUGUACAUAAAAAUAACUAAGGUUACCAAAUGAAACGGAAAAAUGUAAAACCUUACUCUAUUUCAACUCUGCAUUUCAUUUGAUUUCAUGAAGAAACCUUACUCUGUUUAUUCAGAGAUAACAGACAUGAACCAACCAAUACUGCUAACCCUAAAUAAACCAAGGCUUCCCUCUGAAUUCGAGAAGUGUACCAAAAUAAAAUCAGUAAUUAAUUAAAACGAAAGAAAGCUGAACUGCUACAAUUUUUUUAAAAAUAUUAAAUCAGAAGACAAGAGACGUUUCAACAAUUGAUUAGAUCUGGAAAUUAUGACGCAGGAUAAUUAAUAACCGAAAGAAUAUAAUUGGAUAAGAAACUUACCUAAUGCGAAAAGAACCAACAGAAGCACAAUUGGAACCACCUUCAACGCGCAGCUGAUACUCAUUUUGUUUCACUCUCUCUAACUCCGACUAAUUCUCUCUCGACUUAUAUUCUCUGUAAAUUUUGGCGUUGCGAUUUUAUCUAAAGCAAAUGCAAUCCGAAUACUUAAAAUGGGAAAAAGAAAUAAGUACAAAUUUGUAUUUGGGGGAUUUGGUUAACGAGCGGGUCACC